rnacentral:rRNA from 1 species
ACACAUGCAAGUCGAGCGGGCGUAGCAAUACGUCAGCGGCAGACGGGUGAGUAACGCGUGGGAACGUACCUUUUGGUUCGGAACAACACAGGGAAACUUGUGCUAAUACCGGAUAAGCCCUUACGGGGAAAGAUUUAUCGCCGAAAGAUCGGCCCGCGUCUGAUUAGCUAGUUGGUAGGGUAAUGGCCUACCAAGGCGACGAUCAGUAGCUGGUCUGAGAGGAUGAUCAGCCACAUUGGGACUGAGACACGGCCCAAACUCCUACGGGAGGCAGCAGUGGGGAAUAUUGGACAAUGGGGGCAACCCUGAUCCAGCCAUGCCGCGUGAGUGAUGAAGGCCCUAGGGUUGUAAAGCUCUUUUGUGCGGGAAGAUAAUGACGGUACCGCAAGAAUAAGCCCCGGCUAACUUCGUGCCAGCAGCCGCGGUAAUACGAAGGGGGCUAGCGUUGCUCGGAAUCACUGGGCGUAAAGGGUGCGUAGGCGGGUCUUUAAGUCAGGGGUGAAAUCCUGGAGCUCAACUCCAGAACUGCCUUUGAUACUGAAGAUCUUGAGUUCGGGAGAGGUGAGUGGAACUGCGAGUGUAGAGGUGAAAUUCGUAGAUAUUCGCAAGAACACCAGUGGCGAAGGCGGCUCACUGGCCCGAUACUGACGCUGAGGCACG